UACGUAGGGGGCAAGCGUUGUCCGGAUUUAUUGGGCGUAAAGAGCGUGUAGGCGGCUUGGCAAGUCUGCUGUGAAAACUCGAGGCUCAACCUCGAGCUGUCGGCGGAAACUGCUUGGCUAGAGUCCGGAAGAGGAGAGUGGAAUUCCUGGUGUAGCGGUGAAAUGCGCAGAUAUCAGGAAGAACACCUAUGGCGAAGGCAGCUCUCUGGGCAUUACCUGACGCUGAGGAGCGAAAGUGUGGGGAGCGAACAGG
rnacentral:rRNA from 1 species